rnacentral:rRNA from 1 species
UAGCUAGUUGGUGAGGUAAAGGCUUACCAAGGCGACGAUCUGUAGCGGGUCUGAGAGGAUGAUCCGCCACACUGGAACUGAGACACGGUCCAGACUCCUACGGGAGGCAGCAGUGGGGAAUUUUGGACAAUGGGGGCAACCCUGAUCCAGCCAUGCCGCGUGAGUGAAGAAGGCCUUCGGGUUGUAAAGCUCUUUCGGCCGGGAAGAAAUCGCAUGGGUCAAUACCCUGUGUGGAUGACGGUACCGGAAUAAGAAGCACCGGCUAACUACGUGCCAGCAGCCGCGGUAAUACGUAGGGUGCGAGCGUUAAUCGGAAUUACUGGGCGUAAAGCGUGCGCAGGCGGUUUUGUAAGACAGGCGUGAAAUCCCCGGGCUUAACCUGGGAACUGCGUUUGUGACUGCAAGGCUAGAGUACGGCAGAGGGGGGUGGAAUUCCACGUGUAGCAGUGAAAUGCGUAGAGAUGUGGAGGAACACCAAUGGCGAAGGCAGCCCCCUGGGUCGAUACUGACGCUCAUGCACGAAAGCGUGGGUAGCAAACAGGAUUAGAUACCCUGGUAGUCCACGCCCUAAACUAUGUCAACUAGGUGUUGGGUGGGUAAAACCAUUUAGUACCGUAGCUAACGCGUGAAGUUGACCGCCUGGGGAGUACGGCCGCAAGGUUAAAACUCAAAGGAAUUGACGGGGACCCGCACAAGCGGUGGAUGAUGUGGAUUAAUUCGAUGCAACGCGAAAAACCUUACCUACCCUUGACAUGCCAGGAACUUGCCAGAGAUGGCUUGGUGCCCGAAAGGGAGCCUGGACACAGGUGCUGCAUGGCUGUCGUCAGCUCGUGUCGUGAGAUGUUGGGUUAAGUCCCGCAACGAGCGCAACCCUUGUCGUUAAUUGCCAUCAUUUGGUUGGGCACUUUAACGAGACUGCCGGUGACAAACCGGAGGAAGGUGGGGAUGACGUCAAGUCCUCAUGGCCCUUAUGGGUAGGGCUUCACACGUCAUACAAUGGUCGGUACAAAGGGUUGCCAAGCCGCGAGGCGGAGCCAAUCCCAGAAAGCCGAUCGUAGUCCGGAUUGCAGGCUGCAACUCGCCUGCAUGAAGUCGGAAUCGCUAGUAAUCGUGGAUCAGCAUGUCACGGUGAAUACGUUCCCGGGUCUUGUACACACCGCCCGUCACACCAUGGGAGCGGGUUCCGCCAGAAGUAGGUAGCCUAACCGCAAGGGGGGCGCUUACCACGGCGGGGUCCGUGACUGGGGUGAAGUCGAAACAAGGUAGCCGUAGGGGAACCUGCGGCUG